AGUUAAAUGCUGUUUUCUACUAAAACUUUUUCCACAAUUCACACAUGUAAACAUAUUUUCACCAGCGUGAAUCAUCAGGUGUUGAGUUAAACUAACUUUCUGACGAAAACUUUUUCCACAGUUCCCACAUGAAAAUGGCUUUUCACCAGUGUGAAUCAUCAUGUGCCGAGUUAAAUGCUGUUUGUGAAUAAAACUUUUUCCACAGGUCACACAUGAAAACGGCUUCCCAACAGUGUGAAUUAUCAUAUGCUGAGUUAAACUAACUUUCUGACAAAAACUUUUUCCACAGGUCACACAUGAAAAUGGCUUUUCACCAGUGUGAAUCAUCAUGUGUUCAGUUAAAAAUUGAUUUAGACGAAAACUUUUUCCACAGGUCACACAUGAAAACGGUUUUUCACUGUUGUGAAUCUUCAUGUG